ACAAAGAUGUACUGUAGAUAACACAGAUGUACUGUACAUAACACAGAUGUACUGUACAUAACAAAGAUGUACCAUGUAACAGUUCCUUUCUUUCUUGUAUGUCUUCCCACCAAAUGAACAUUCCACCUGACCUGCCUACUUGUGAACAGAUCUAACACAUAACUAAUACUGAAGUUUUUUUUGUUUUUAUUUAAUUUGUCAUUGAUGAUGUUUUGUUGAUUUUGUCAAACUGUUGCAUUUAAUGUGAUAAAGGAGAUAAAACAUUCCUGGGUCAAUAUGAUGAACUUUACAGUCUGAUUGUAUGACCCAAUUUUACAAAACAAGUAAUUUAUGUAUAUACUGCAUUUGUGAACAAAAAUGGUUGACUUCAUAUCAGAAGAAUUAUAUUGACAAAUAUUGUACAUAAACAAAGAUUUAAAAAUCAAAAGUAAAAUGUCUUUCAUUGUGUUGAAGUUAAUGAUGCACUGUGAACUUUUGAAUAGCUGAAAAUACAGUAGCAUGAUUAAAAUAGAUGUCUAAUCAUGACUAAUGACAUUAUUUUUAUAAGAAUCUGGGCUCAGUCUUAUCAUGGAGCAUUGAAGUUCCAAUUUGUUUUGGUCAUUUUUUGAAUUCCAAUUCAAUUUCAUUAUUUUAUUUUUGUUCGAAAUA